UUCAAUAUCUGACCUCGAAUCAGGUGGGACUACCCGCUGAACUUAAGCAUAUCAAUAAGCGGAGGAAAAGAAACUAACAAGGAUUCCCCUAGUAACGGCGAGUGAAGCGGGAUGAGCUCAAAUUUAAAAUCUGGCAGUCUUUGGCUGCCCGAGUUGUAUNCUAGAGAAGCGUUUU
rnacentral:rRNA from 1 species